rnacentral:ncRNA from 1 species
AUUCUGGUUGAUCCUGCCAGUAGUUAUAUGCUUGUCUCAAAGAUUAAGACAUGCAUGUCUAAGUACACACGAAUUAACAGUGAAACCGCAAAAGGCUCAUUAUAUCAGUUAUGGUUCCUUAGAUCGUUAACAGUUACUUGGAUAACUGUGGUAAUUCUAGAGCUAAUACAUGCAAUUAAAACACGGACCUUUUGGAACGUGUGCUUUUAUUAGGCUAAAACCAAGCGAUCGCAAGAUCUGCUUAUUGGUUGAACUCUAGAUAACAUGCAG